UUCAGAUUCAGAUUGGAUUAUAUCACCAGCUUUCCUGGGUCUCCAGCUUAUAGAUGGCAGAUCAUGGGACUUCUCAGCCUCUACAAUCAUCACAACUCAAGAGGUGGGAUCUCUUCACUUGCAAGUAACUGAUGUAUUCAACUGCUAAAAUGAUUGCAUUACAGACAACUGGAGCCGAAGCUGGAAAUUGGAGGGAGCAAAGUACCUGAAUUCCACUUGGGCAACUGUAAACACCAGAAGCUCCUAAGAUCGGAGCUUAUUAUCAUAAUCAUCUCGAAGGAUGGCUUCCAUCGGAAAGUUCAACAUUUUUUUUAGCACGUUGUAGGUAGGGAUAGGGGGGUGGAGUCAGCCUAGAUUUUGAGGCCACUUAACAAAGAAAACCCAAUCUCUUUCGUCGCCCCCAUGUCUCUCAGGGCACCUGGGCGCUCUGGGAUGCUACAGAUCCCAUCCGCAGGCCUUGCCCUAGGCCAGCUAACCUUGAGUCCUGUACGAUGCUGUCCACUGUGGGACGUGUGACUGGAGAGCCUGCUGGCACGAAAACCAUCACACAUUCAGCAGUGAGCAAUUUCUGCAGGAACCGGAAGGGAGCAAAGAGGCAGCGUGCGGUAAAGUUGGGUCUCUAGGCAAGUCUCCAUCACGAUUUUAUAGAAUCGAUCUUAUAUUUGAGCAUGUAAAGAGGACAUAGCCAAAAAGUAAACACAAUUUACAAUGCUAAAAACUGGAGAGGGGCGCCUGGGUGGCUCAGUCGGUUAAGCGUCCGACUUCGGCCCAGGUCACGAUCUCAUGGUCCGUGAGUUCGAGCCCCGCGUCGGGCUCUGUGCUGACAGCUCAGAGCCUGGAGCCUGCUUCGGAUUCUGUGUCUCCCUCUCUCUCUCUGCUCCUCCCCCGUUCAUGCUCUGUCUCUC